UACUGAGCUGGCAUUGAAGGAUGGAAUCCACAGCAGUCAAUAAAGAAUUGGCGGGAACAAAAGUGGAAUUUCUUUUCUGUUUGGACAGUUGCACAGAGGAUGGGGCAUCAGAAACAAAACCGGAUGUCUCUCCAAAAUGAGGUCAGAAAUCUGACAUCUUAGACGUCAAAUAAAAGCCCACCUCAGAGCAGGAGCAGCAAGGAGAGCACCUGUCCCUGCAUUGGUGCUGGGUGGAGGGAAAUCCACUGACCCUGAGAACCGAUGAGAAACAGUCCUCCGGGAGUUCAUGCUGGAAGACCUGGAGAGCAUGGGUCAAAUCGAUGUGGCACCAGGCGGCUGCUAACUUCACCUCUACCCCAUGUGCUAGUUCUGGCAAAGCCAGUCACCUGCCCAGGGCAGAGAGUAGCCUGAAGCUGAUGCUACGGAGAGACUGGGGCCUUCAGUCCAACAGCCUGCAAGCAAUAGAAUUCUGCCAGCAACACAGAAGCGAGCGUGGAAGCAGCUCCUCCCCUGAUGAGCCUGAGCCUUCAGAAGACAUGGCAGCCCUGAGCAGACACUUGCUGCAGCCGCGGAGAGCCCCUGGGGCAGAGGGCCCAGUGAAGCCUGCACUCCUGGCCCAAGGAGUAAGCAUUCCUGUGGUAUAACUGUGUGCUGGUGUGGGCCACAGUUUGGAGUCAUCUGUCAGGGGACAAUAAAGAACAAACACACGCCUCA
rnacentral:lncRNA from 1 species